rnacentral:rRNA from 1 species
GACGAACGCUGGCGGCGUGCCUAAUACAUGCAAGUAGAACGCUGAAGGAGGAGCUUGCUUCUCUGGAUGAGUGGCGAACGGGUGAGUAACGCGUAGGUAACCUGCCUGGUAGCGUGGGAUAACUUCUGGAAACGAUAGCUAAUACCGCAUAAGAGCAGAUGUCGCAUGACAUUUGCUUAAAAGGUGCAAUUGCAUCACUACCAGAUGGGCCUGCGUUGUAUUGGCUAGUUGGUGAGGUAACGGCUCACCAAGGCAACGAUACGUAGCCGACCUGAGAGGGGGGUCAGCCACACUGGGACUGAGACACGGCCCAGACUCCUUCGGGAGGCAGCAGUAGGGCAUCUUCGGCAAUGGGCGGAAGUCUGACCGAGCAACGCCGCGUGAGUGAGGAAGGUCUUCGGGUCGUAAAGCUCUGUUGUCGGAGAGGAACGAGUGUGCGAGUGGGAAGUUCAGUCUGUGACGGUAUCUUACCAGAAAGCAACGGCUAACUACGUG